rnacentral:rRNA from 1 species
UAACACAUGCAAGUCGAGCGGUAACAGAUCCAGCUUGGUGGAUGCUGACGAGCGGCGGACGGGUGAGUAAUGCAUAGGAAUCUGCCCAGUAGUUGGGGAUAGCCCGGGGAAACCCGGAUUAAUACCGAAUACGCCCUACGGGGGAAAGCAGGGGAUCUUCGGACCUUGCGCUAUUGGAUGAGCCUAUGUCGGAUUAGCUAGUUGGUGGGGUAAUGGCUUACCAAGGCGACGAUCCGUAGCUGGUCUGAGAGGAUGAUCAGCCACAUCGGGACUGAAACACGGCCCGAACUCCUACGGGAGGCAGCAGUGGGGAAUAUUGGACAAUGGGGGCAACCCUGAUCCAGCCAUGCCGCGUGUGUGAAGAAGGCUUUCGGGUUGUAAAGCACUUUCAGUGAGGAGGAAAACCUUACGAUUAAUACUCGUGAGGCUUGACGUUACUCACAGAAGAAGCACCGGCUAACUCCGUGCCAGCAGCCGCGGUAAUACGGAGGGUGCAAGCGUUAAUCGGAAUUACUGGGCGUAAAGCGCGCGUAGGUGGUUCGAUAAGCGAGAUGUGAAAGCCCCGGGCUUAACCUGGGAACGGCAUUUCGAACUGUCGGGCUAGAGUAUGGUAGAGGGUAGUGGAAUUUCCUGUGUAGCGGUGAAAUGCGUAGAUAUAGGAAGGAACACCAGUGGCGAAGCGGCUACCUGGACCAAUACUGACACUGAGGUGCGAA